UGUAUUUGUUCUGGUUUCACACUCAACUGACUCAGUAACUUGUUUUUAAACGUUGACAUGGAAAAUUUGACAACCCUCUGUUUAGUGUCUCUUUCACAGAAAGAUGUUUUAUGACAACUGCCAUGUGGUCAGAUCUUCUGGACGUCAGGUGGUGUGUUUAAUGCAGAUGUUGUCCCUCACUUUGACUCUGUGAUACAGCAGUGACUGAGACCAUGUCACACAACACCAGCAGAGCGGCGCUCAACUGCACUGUAUAUGAGACGUCAUGGGACACUACGACCUGCAGAACAUUUUUAAGGAGCAUGUAUUGUGUAAUGCUAACCACACUACUCAUCCAUACUGUAAUAGUGGGCAGCAGAGUUCUGCAGUCUGCACCUUAUGGAUCACCAAGGAUUUGAUUUCCUCUUGGAAAUCUAACGUUUCUAUCUCUGUAUAUCUACAAUAAAAGGCAUUGGAAUGGU